GUUUAGUCUGGCGCAGGGCUUCAGGGGAGAUUGGCAGCUGGGUCAAACAAAGUCCUUCCAUUGGCUCCCUUCCCAGGCAGCUUCUGCUAGUAUUUAGUAGGUACUAGUGCAGUGUAGGGCCCUUUUCUCAGGCAAAACCUAACAUCUGACCGCACCCUCUUUGCUAUUUCAAGAAAAAGAGAAAAAAAGCUUCUUUUUUCCUUCUUUCGUUAUAAGAUAAAUUCUCUAGUAGACAACCUCUCCCACUAAUUGUGUAUUAGCAGUGUAUUUUAUCUUGAGAGCUGACGCACUGGGCUUUCGACGUGGUGUGGAAAGCAGCCUGUUACAGUGCUGAAUUCAUAAAAAGGCCUUCAUGGUUUGUGAAAGAAUAUCUGUGUGCUUAGGCAGGAAACUUUUUGAUCUGCAGAAAAGCCAGAAGACAUCUAGGGUAUCUUCAACGAUUAUACAGAGGAAAUUUUAUUCACCUAUAAAGGCAUUUGAACUGGGCAAACAGGACGACAGCAGCAGUGAGCAUGAGAUCAUUGCAGCCCUGUAGCAAACUGGCAUCCUGCCUUUUCACCACUUUGGUUCGGGAGACAAACGUGUGCAAUCCUCAUUUCUAAAGUCAGCACAGCCUGGAAGGAUUCCUGGUCUCUCCCACCUUCUACCAUUCUGCUGCCAGUGACGGCAAGGAUUGGUGCAGUUUCUGCGCAGUGCUUUGUGCCUGGAAUACCGAGAAGGAAGAAAAAGAAGACAAGCUUUCUGGUUCUUCUCUUCUAAGAAAUAACAGGAGCCCUGAAGAAAAAAAAAUCUGAGUUUGUCUUACUACAUGCAAGAGUUCUGAAAGAGAGAGAGAAAGACGCUCCUGCUCAAAAACAAAAAAACAAAAACAAACAAAAAUCCAAUCCAAAAAACAAACAAACAAAAAAAAGCAAACAUUGGCUUACAUAACUGCAGAGACAUCGGGCUUUCUAAAGCAGCUUUUGAAGGCAACAUAACCAAAUGAGCCUUCUUUAUUUUUACUAUUUCAAAAAAUAUGGCAUGAUUAGCAAUACAUUGCACUUGGUGAAAUCGCACCUUUCAUAUCAGGUAUAACUUUUUUGUUGUUUCUUUUUACGCCUACUGUUAUAUAAAAGAGGAUCCUUAAACUUUCAAUUUACUCUUAUUUAACUCAUCACCCACUUUACUCUAAACUUUUUUCUUUUACUUUCUUACUCUAACCCUAAAGUAAAAAUAGAAAAAUCUCUAUAAAAAUGUUUACUUUUGUUACACACAGAAGUUCUUUUAGAAGACACUAAUGUGUCAUCUGUGCUUUUUAUGUCCAGCAUUAGUUUUGCUAAGAAACGUGUUUAGAUCUUGUUGUUAGAGAAAGUAAAAUCUUUUAUGUGUUUCACAAUUUGGAAUAUGGAAGAAGAAACUUUCUGAACUUCUGAAAAAGGAUCAUACUAGAAUAUGCAUUUGAGAAAAGUUAUACUUAAAUUAUUUACAAGGAUUUUAGUAGCACAGAAACAGGGGUGAAAAGAUCAUGUUCUCAGUUGCUAAGUAGAAAAGAAGCUUGUUUCUUAAUAAUGCUCUCUUUUAAAAUACAUUUAAAAAGAAGUAUUUGUCCAAGAGCAGUUGCAAAGGAAGUUGGAAAUAUUCAUUAAGUAUUUUGUGGAAAAAGUACAUACAAACUUGUUUUAAGUUCAGAACAACAUAUUGGCUCAGCACAUAGCUGCAUUGCAUUCUAAUUAUUUGUAAAAGCAAAUUGCUAAGCAAGUUAAGCAUUUUAUAACAAAAUACAGUUUUGCCUAAUUCCAUGUGAAAAGAUUAGCAGAUGCAUCCUACUUAAUUUAGUUUUAAUAAAAAUGUUUUUAAACAUGUAUAAAAUUGUUCAAAAAGAGAAAAUGCUUUUUGAAAAUACAGCAGGUAUCAAUGAAGUCUAUAUUUUCAAAUUACUAAUUGGUGCUGUAUUUUAUAUAAAACAAUAAUUUUCUUUAAACUUAUACUCUUAAAAUCACAUUACAUUAUGUUAAAAGUAUGUAAGAGAAACAAAGAGAAAUAUAGAAAUAUGGAAUUCUGUCUUUUAUUUUGUUCUUCUAUGAAGAAUUUAUGGGAAAUUACAAAAACCCUAUAUACUGAUAACAUUUAAAUAAAAUAUUUCAUCAUAUUUAUUGUUACUGUUAGCUAAGCAUUUACAAAAUAGCUCUGGUUCUUGCAUGGUGCCUCAGCUAAUGGAAAGCCAACUUUCAAAGGCUUAAUUAAUAUUGAUAAAAAUGUUUUCAUGUUUCAAGAUCUUUUAGUUGAAAAAACAUGAGUUUAAAUUUUAUUUUUAGCAGUCAUUAAUCUCUAUACUCUUAAUUAUCUUAUUAAGCUCCAUGCCCAAUUCAAAGCUCUUCAGCUCUCACUACUUCAUUGUGCUAAAUCUAGUCGCUUUUUUUAAGAACUAUCCUCCUUUCACUUUCAAAACUGCUCCUGUUAAAACAACACUAACCAAAAUGAACGCAUAAAUGUAAACUAUGAAACCACAGAAUAUGUCAUAUGAGUGGCUUGGGUGGGGCCCUAUGAAUCUUCCAAGCCUAUUUUUUCUUUAAUACUUUAGAAAUAUUUUCCUACUUUGGUAUUGUAUUUUCUUCUCGAUCAUCUACCUUCGUUCCCACCAUCCAUUCAGAUCCUCCUCCUAGAUAGCAGUUGUCUGAUAUCUCUCCUUUUGUGGUUGUUUUAGGGAAAAACUUAAAAUGGAUAUGAGAAGUGAAGAAAGUGAUCAUAGGAGAAAAUCAUCUAAGGUGUCUGAGGAUUUGUGAGCAUCAAGUGAAUGUUCUAUGGAAUCAUCUUUCCUUGCCUUUGAAUUACCUUUCCCUAGGCCAUGAGUCAACAUCCAUAUUUUAUUCUUCCAAAUUGAAUGAAGAAAUACAGACUUCCAUCUUGGAUUACCACCCUGCCAAAAGUCUGACGAGGGAUUGCAUUAUAUAUUUCCUGCAUCCAAGUGACUCAAUGACCAACCAAUUCUUACUAAAGAAUUUCCCAUCUGGAAUUCAGUUCUCUUCCUCUGGGAGGCUGAGAAUGAAGUACUGGAGGAAGCUCAACAGCUUUUACACUAAUGAAUAUAACUCUUCAUGGAAGCACAAAGAAGGAAUAUGAAGGUUUCCUUCCAAAUAGGUGCCAAAUUGUGGAAGAUAGAAUGAUUUUCUGGCCUCCAGAACCCAGAGAUCAACCUAUGAAAUAUAACAGAAGUUAAUGUGGAGGAUUCUAAAUGUUGGAAGUCUUCAAAUACUAGAUUUUUAAAA
rnacentral:lncRNA from 1 species